rnacentral:misc_RNA from 1 species
UCUCCGUCGGUGAACCAGCGGAGGGAUCAUUACCGAGUUUACAACUCCCAAACCCGAUGUGAACGUUACCAAACUGUUGCCUCGGCGGAAUCCCUGCCCCGGCUGCGCCGCAGCCCCUGACCAAGGCGCCCGCCGGAGGACCAACCAAAAACUCCUUUGUAUACCCCCUCGCGGGUUUUUUAUAUAUGCGCCAUCUCGGCGCCUCUCGUAGGCGUUUCGAAAAUGAAUCAAAACUUUCAACAACGGAUCUCUUGGUUCUG